AAAGGAGAACCUAGGGGUCCUAUUUAUAGACCCUAGGAUAGCACAAAAGGACAAAAUGGCAAAGUCGACUUUUUCACGCAAGGGAUCGACUUUUGACCAAAAGCACCAGGAAUCGACUUUUUGACAAAAGUCGACCAAACUCAACAAGGGAUCGACAUUUAGCAAAAGUCGACCAAACUCAACAAGGGAUCGACAUUUAGCAAAAGUCGAG
rnacentral:lncRNA from 1 species